CCACCACUCCUUGCAUGCGCAUAGAGUGUAGAGAAAGUAAUCAGAUUUCUUGCUAUGUUAUCUAACUCACUCUCCACCACUUGUGUGCAUAGAGCAUGACCAAAAUUCUAAUCUAUUGUUGUGGUAACCAAAUUGAAUCAUCCUUUGUCAUAUAUGCGCCCAAUGAGACAUAAAAGAAUUCUGAAUGUGUCACAAUGAUUCAGCCUCCAAGAGUUUUAUCUCUUCCCUUCCCUUUUUUUUUUUCUAUGCGCUACUGAAUGAGACAACAAAACUAAAAACUUAGCUAUUCUCCUCCCUUCAACAUCUUCAGGACCGUGAAUGUGUAAGGAGUUUAGAAAGAAAAACACCAUUUUCUUCCAUCUCUUUUCCCCAAGGCCGUAGCUACCUAGCGUAGAAAGAAAACCAGAAAUUGUUUCCCUUCUCUUUUACUCCUCCUCUAAACCGUGAACAUCAUUGAGGAACAACAAUAAGGUUCUGAACACUUUCCCAUCUCUUUGACCGUGAGCAUUCUUAGGAAGGAAGCUAAAGGAAAACUCUAGUUCUUUUUCCCUAUUAUCCAGCCGUGAUGCAAUCCUCAAGGAACCUAAGAACCGUACCAUGAAGGGUAGAAUAGGAGGAAAGUUGAGCAUCAUCGGGUCACUAUCUCAUUCAGCCGAAUGGUACUCCUUGGGUGUCCUACUCAUGGAUGUGCACGUAACUCUUGUUGAGUGAGAUGAAUUUUGGUGCUGUUGAUUAUUGCAUGGACACAAGGAGUACGUAAAGGCAUUUGAGGAUGUGCUUGUUUUGAAGAUGUCUUGUUUAUUUGUUGCUGCCGUUUUGAGAAUUUUGAUGUUGACAUGCUAUUUAUGUUAAUUGUUGGUUGAUCGUUAUAGUAGGCUGUGAUAAUUAUUUUUGAGAUGUUGUAAGAAAAUGUUAUAGUAUGUUUUAAUUGCUAUAUUUGGGUUUUGGAGUCUGUUUGUAACU